ACACGACUACAUUUAGAUACCCGGGUAGUCCUAGCCGUAAACGAUACUCGCUAGGUGUCGGCCACGGUGCGACCGUUGUCGGUGCCGUAGGGAAGCCGUGAAGCGAGCCACCUGGGAAGUACGGCCGCAAGGCUGAAACUUAAAGGAAUUGGCGGGGGAGCACCACAACGGGUGGAGCUUGCGGUUUAAUUGGAUUCAACGCCGGAAAUCUUACCGGGACCGACAGCAACAUGAAGGCCAGGCUGAAGACUUUGCCGGAUUAGCUG
rnacentral:rRNA from 1 species